rnacentral:antisense_RNA from 2 species
AAAGCACGACAUUGCUCACAUUGCUUCCAGUAUUACUUUAGCCAGCUUAAUGCUGGCUUUUUUUU